UACGUAGGGGGGCAAGCGUUUGUCCGGAUUUAUUGGGCGUAAAGAGCUCGUAGGUGGUUCGGUAAGUCGGAUGUGAAAUCUCCAGGCUCAACCUGGAGGGGUCAUUCGAUACUGCCGUGACUAGAGUUCGGUAGGGGAGUGUGGAAUUCCUGGUGGAGCGGUGAAAUGCGCAGAUAUCAGGAGGAACACCGAUGGCGAAGGCAGGUCUCUGGACAUUAACUGACGCUGAGGAGCGAAAGCAUGGGGAGCGAACAGG
rnacentral:rRNA from 1 species